GACUACAGCCAUACUUCUCUGCACAGCACCCAGUCUCCUCUGAACUGAAGCUAAGUAGGGAACUGUCUGGUUAGUACUUGGGUGGGAGAAAAUGUAUUAAUGGGCUGUAACCC
ensembl:rRNA 5S_rRNA 5S ribosomal RNA